rnacentral:lncRNA from 1 species
GGGAUUAGAGAGAGGAGCUUCAUGCUUCGGGUCGGGGAAGGAAAGACAUAGAAUUUGGAUUUUUCUUCUUCAUAGAGUUUUGGGAAGGCUGAGGCAAUCGCUAUUGAAGUCAGUAUUGUAAUGGUGAAUCGGGAUUUUUAAUGAAGUGGGUUUGAAUACUCUUGACUGUUUUGUGAAAUCGAGUUACGUCUGUGAUUGAAGGAUUAAAAGGGCGUCUAUAGGAUUGAGUAUGCGGAGUGAAUGAAAUUUAUUGGGUUAAUCUAACAAGACAAUCAGUGGAUACAA